UCGUGCCCGGACCCUGCCCCCGAGACGCUCAGCUCCAGGAGGGGAGGCGACUCAGACACCAGGCACACACAGUGACCGCGAGAUGAGAAAGCACCGAGGAGGAAGGACUGAAGGAAGAGGCCCUGCUCUCGGAGGCUGGAAGCUUCAGGAGAACCAGGACCAAGUGAGCCUUGAUCAGGCUCUGUCUUCAGCACCUGGAACAGGGCCUGGCACCCAUUGAGGAGGUGAUCAACAUGUUUGAGAGAGAACCGGGCACAGCCUGGAAGGAAGCUUCCUGCACGGUAUUCACCCUCCUUCCCAGCAGCAGUGCCUCUCCACAGAGCUCAGUGAUGGCAGAUGUCUGUGAAACUCCCAAAACACUAGAAGGCACUGGGGACUGGAUGGGGCUUCACUCACAUUGCAAGAGCACACCAUGAGAGAGGAGGAGAAAGAAGAGACAGGUGGAAUCUCCUCUGCAGCUUCCUCCUUCAGGUCCUACUUUCAUUGAAGGGCCAGAAACAAAGGGCAGAGUAAUACAGGCCCUGUUUCUACCUGCAAACCACAACCCCGCGCCCAACACCCCCCCUUUUCUCCCAACUUUUUAAGGUUUUAGGAUGCUGACCUAUGUGAAAAGCAGCUAAUUUAGUGUAAUGCAGUUUAAGGACAGUGGGUGAAGAGGUACCUGCCCCCACUGAGGAGUGUCCCCACCCAUUUCAUGAUCAGAGGUGGUCACUGUCUAGUUCUUACUUAGAACACAGGAGUGAAGAGUGCUUGCCAAAAAAAAAGUUCAGUUUUUGACACACUUGGAAUCAACCAGAAUCAGAUGUCCCAGAGACAGGAGAAUGGCCUGAGCUGGAGGUUCAGGAGUUAUCAGCAUAUGGAUGGAAGUGAAUGAGGUCAUCUGAAGAGAGUAUGCACAGUUAAGAUAGGGCCUCUGACAGAACCCGGAGGACACCAGCAUUUCAGGUUGUCUUAGCCCAGUCACCCAAAGACCACCAGGGACAAAUCCAUAGUCCAGCAAAGUCAGGUUUAUUGACCUAUUGCUAUGAGGAAAACAACAUGCCAGAAGAACCAUAGGGUGUCCCACCAAAUGCAAAGAAAAAAAGAGAGUUAUUACCAGAUUUGAGCAAGACAUGGAAUUAGGUGAAAUUUAAAUGAAGCAAUAUUCUGACAGCUGAGAGCAAAGCAGCAGCUGAGAGUAAAGGGGCUGAUACCAGGUCUGGAGUGCUAAGUGGACCCAGGGUCAUGUUUUCUUGGAAACAAUAAAGUUAAGACAGAUGUGGAAUAUUAUGUUCAGAAAUACCUAUCUAAAUCUCUUCACCUGGGUUGUAAAUCCUGUCUGCUUAGUGAAUUAGUUCCUCCAGGCAAGAGUUUCAUCUUACAUAAUUUCAAACAACAAAGUUUCUGAUAGUCUAUGAUUUUAGAAAACAAAGUUGCUCGGUGUCUAAGAAGGGAGUGGGUUGUUAAGAUAUUUUAUAGCUGCAGUAUGUCCUUGGUAAAAACAAUAUCUCCUGUUAAUUUUGCAGCUGGCUUUAUCUGUGUCUAUUAUUCCAGCCUGAUGAACAGUAGGGCAGAUUUUUACAGACCCAACUAAUUUUUAGGUUUUCUAGGGUCAAACAAUGGAGGAGGAAUCUGCAAAGACUAAGAGUAGUGAGUAGGUAGGAGUCAGUCAGUUUCAGGAAGCAGGAGGUGAUUGUUGUUGAACCCUAAGAGGUCUAGUUUACUGUGCUGCUGUACAAUAGGGUAACCAUUAGCUGCACCUAAUUAUUUAAAUGUAUUAAGUGAUUUUGAAAUAAAUUCAAUAAAAUAAAAAGUUUUAUUCCUCCAGGGCCCUUAGCCACAUGUCAAAUGUUACGACAGUGCAAAUGCAGAACAUUUCCAUCAUAACAGAAAGUUCUAUUGAACCGCAUGGUAAGAGAACUGAGAGUGCCAGGCGACUGUGACCCCCGUGAGCACAGUCUCCAAGGAGUAAUGGGAGUGGAAGCCAUGUAGGAGGUGCAGAAAGGUAGUGAGUAGUCUUUCCAAAACUAAACCAUAACAACGUCCUUCUCCUAUGACAGCUACCGUGUAACUCCUGCGUGCCUGAAGCCACAAAUGUGCCUCAGGCUCAGAUCCCUUGGCUCCUCAGCUUCCCCGCGUUUACCUGCCAGCACAGACCCACAAGCUCCAUCCCCCAACACUCCCCGGAUCCUUGUUCUGCGGCUCAGGCUCUUGGGCUUCUGGGACGUGUAGUGUGGACGGCGUCGCAACUCUUUCAAUAUUCUAGCCGCGACCUAAAAGUCCCAUAAGGCAGUGCGCGGGGUGUCUCCGUUGAGGAGCCCUGGAAUCGUCCCCGGACGUUUAGGGAGCAUGCCUGAGGCGCUGGGGUACCGGGGAGGAUGGCGACCGCGCUGUGCCUCCUCCUGCCACUCCUGAGUUCUCCGCCCCUCCGGAGACCCCUCAACUGCUGCGAGGCCGACGGAGGCACCAGGGAGUGUGGGGACAGCGUGGCCACACUCACUAGGGGACUUGGGGGUAGCGUCUGACCGCGAGCAGCCGGAGGGCCUUUGGGCGGCCCCCGGAGGGAAACUCACGCCCAAAUACCGGGCCUCGCGCUUCUGUAAACUCCAAAGAGCGCCUGCGCACACGGAGAGUCUCGGGAUCAACUUUUGGGGACGCUUUCAGAGGAGAUAACAGUGCUGAGUAGAAAUGGAACGGAACAGUCGUCAUUCUGUUGUCCUUUCUCUUAUGGUUUGCAAAGCACAGCCCCCUUCUUUGACUCUCGUAAUUUGAUCCUCAAAUUAAGCAGUCCUAUUACAAAUGAGGCGACGGGUCAGACAAAGACAAAGGCAUACAGCCUGAGUCUUACUUAGCAUCACAGAGUAUGAAGGACCAGCGCAGGAGAAGAGUUCAGGACUCUUGCCCAGGCUCUGCCUCUGACUUGCUGUGAGACCUUGGGUAUUCUGUUCCCUUAGGAACCUAAGCCUACGCAUUUGUAAAUGCAAAUAGGUUUUGGGGAGGAUCGAAUGGUAUCCAGAAUUGAAACUAAAUUCCCAGUCUAUGAAGGCAAAAUUAUUAUAGUCAGGUGAUUGCAGAUUGAAGAGCCCAUUUCCCCAUUUUACAAAUUGCAAAACUGAAGGCCCCAGAGGGGCAGGAGCUUGCCUCAGGUCUCAACAGUCUUGUUAACGAGGGCUAAAGUCCAGCUCUGCCUUUGGGCCUAGAGCCCUUCCCCACACCCCAAGUAUCAGUGUCUUUGUUGGAUACAGUUGAAUACAGUUAGAGAUUGAUUUCUCUGCGGGCCUGGGGAAGUCCCUGUUCUCAAGCCUUCUCCUACCCUACCUGGGUCUAAUCGGAGAGGGCCCUGCUCUGCUUGUCAUCUGGAGAAUGCUGGAGAAAGAACACAGUGUUGCUGGAAGUAUACAGACACUGCUUCUCCGGACAGCAGCCCAGGUAAGGGAAGGAGCCGAGGUGUGACAGAUGAGGGGCAGUACUAAGGGGACAGACCCUGAAUGGAAGUGGGAAGAUGUUGGACUAUUUCUAGCCUGGGAGGAAUUGGGCACUCAGGUGACUCUGGCUGGACCCAGUGGCAGCUGGAGGUGAUAUCUGGGCUAGCUGAGUGAUGAGGAGAGGAAAUGAUACACACUGAGCUGAGACUGUAGGAGCCACUCCCCUAGCCAGGUGGCACCAUGAGCACACCAUACCACCUCCAGGACCAGGGAGCUGCCCACCAGGGAAGUGAAAUAUCUUUGUUCCCUGUGGUAGUGGAGCUGGGGUGUACCCAGCUAUUUCUCUAUGGGGUGCUCUUAGGUUCUGGAGAAUGGGAGGGAAAGGGCUGGGAGCCCCCAAGGUCUGGGUACAGAUGGAGUCUUCUCAGGCAAAUCAUAAAAGGCGAGUGUUUGUAGAAGUAGAAAGCUAAGAUCCUCCACACUUCCAGGUAACUACUUUUCUGGGCCUUAUCAUCUCUGUUUUCAGCAGGGGAAACAGGCUAAAAGAGGAAAGGACUCUCUUAAGGACACACAAGGAGUUAGGGUAGAACUGAACUGGAAUAGGGAUCUUUCCAUUACAUGGCAGUGAUCAAACAUCUUCAUCAAACAUUUAUUGAGUGUCUAAUGUAUACUCUAAAAAGAGCUACCUUGGGGUGGCAAACAGAAGCCAGGAUUGCAGUCAGAUCUGACUUUUAACCUGCUCUCCUAGUGACUUACACUGUGACCCCUAGCAAAUCACCAUCCCUCUCAGUGCCUCAAAUUGUAAAGUGGGGGUGGUAAGCUUUAUCGAGAGCUGUCUCAAGGUAUAACUAUGAAUUAAAUAAGUGCACAGAACAGCACCAGGCACGUGGUAUGUGCACAGUAAACAUUAGCCACUGCUGUUACUUGUGAACGCAAGCUGAGGCCAGCUGCAGUCAGGGUUUCACUAGAGACAGGCAGAGGCAGGUCUGCUCAACUCCUGGAUACCUCCACUCAGUGCCAUGGGAGCCUGCACUUCAAGUUGAGGGGGGGACUCAUAUACUUAUUCUGUCCUCUGGCACUAAGAACCUAGCAGAGAACAGGUGCUUCAAGUGUUUACACCUCCACAUUGCAACACGAUCCCUUUCCCCACAACCUGAGGUCCAGAGUUAAGGUGAUUUUUGCUUAAAGUUGCACAUUACAGCCCUAGACAGUCAUACCAGAACCAGACCCUGGGCUCUUUCCAGCCCCUACAGGGUGUGGGGUCAUAAAUAACCCUUCCUCUCUGUAGGGUAGAUGUCCAAAAAGGCUGACAACAGGGGCUUGAGCAAAAACCUGGAAGACAGGGAGAAGCCUGCGUGGGAGACAGGACCUGACAUCAGAUACCCAACCCCAGACCACCCUGUUUGAAGAUGGAGGUCUCACCCAGUGCUCACUAGUGACCUGGGACAACAAAGGAUUGCCCUUCCCCCAGCUCAAUGUGCUGGUUCUGGAAUCUGUCAGGAGAAGAGGGAGGUAUUACUUCCAGAUCAAGGAACAAAGAUACAGGAAAGAAGCCAUGCUUUGGGGACAGGUGCCAGGCCUGUGGGUAAGAAGGCAUUAUUUGA